AUUGAACGCUGGCGGCAGGCCUUACACAUGCAAGUCGAGCGGAGCGGCGGACGUGUGAGUAAUGCCUAGGAAUCUGCCUGUUAGUGGGGGAUAACGUUCGGUACCGGGCGCUAAUGCUGCAUACUCUCAGAUGAGCCUAGGUCGGAUUAGCUAGUUGGUGGGGUAAAGGCCUACAAGGGCGACGAUCCCUAACUGGUCUGAGAGGAUGACCAGGCACACUGGAACUGAGACACGGUCCAGACUCCUACGGGAGGCAGCAGUGGGGAAUAUUGGACAAUGGGCGAAAGCCUGAUCCAGCCAUGCCGCGUGUGUGAAGAAGGGCUUCGGAUUGUAAAGCACUUUAAGUUGGGAGGCGUUACCAGCAGAAUAAGCACCGGCUAACUUCGUGCCAGCAGCCGCGGUAAUAC
rnacentral:rRNA from 1 species